rnacentral:rRNA from 1 species
GACGAACGCUGGCGGCGUGCUUAACACAUGCAAGUCGAACGGAAAGGCCUGCUUUCCCUUGUGGAUUGCGGGUGCUCGAGUGGCGAACGGGUGAGUAACACGUGAGUGAUCUGCCCCCAACUUGGGUAUAAGCCUGGGAAACUGGGUCUAAUUCCCGAUAGGACUGCAGGGUGGUGCCUGUGGUGGAAAACGAUUUUCUAGUGGUUGGGGAUGAGCUCGCGGCCUAUCAGCUUGUUGGUGGGGUAAUGACCUACCAAGGCGGCGACGGGUAGCCGGCCUGAGAGGGUGGACGGCCACAUUGGGACUGGGAUACGGCCCAGACUCCUACGGGAGGCAGCAGUGGGGAAUAUUGCACAAUGGGCGGAAGCCUGAUGCAGCGACGCCGCGUGGGGGAUGACGGCCUUCGGGUUGUAAACUCCUUUCGACCGCGAGGAAGCCACCUGGUUGGAAGGGUGGUGACGGUAGUGGUAGAAGAAGCACCGGCUAACUACGUG